AGAACCUGAACAAGGACGGCAGCGUUUCACCUGAGGAGAGGAACUUCAUGGACGGGAGCCAUUGGGAAUAUUAAAGGACGUUCACUCUCAGCAAGUUGACAUCAACAGUUGACACAAGAUCAAUGAGGAGUUCAGAAGAAUAACCACAGUUCAUCUGGAGCGAAACUUUUUGUCGAAAUUGGACAAUUGCACUACCAACUUUCUGGAGAUACUUGGGACAAAGGGCGGAGUUGCAGGAACAAAGACCCAUGCUGGAAUCACCCAGCCUGGUAAAGUUUAGAUAUCUAAUAUUAUAUAAAAUUAUGUUGGGCUCAUAUACACUGAGAAUAGAUGCAUGACAACGCAUUUUAAACA